rnacentral:rRNA from 1 species
GACGAACGCUGGCGGCGUGCUUAACACAUGCGAGUCGAACGGAAAGGCCCUUCGGGGUCCUCGAGUGGCGAACGGGUGAGUAACACGUGGGUGAUCUGCCCUGCACUUUGGGAUAAGCCUGGGAAACUGGGUCUAAUACCGAAUAGGACCACGCGCUUCAUGGUGUGUGGUGGAAAGCUUUUGCGGUGUGGGAUGGGUCCGCGGCCUAUCAGCUUGUUGGUGGGGUAAUGGCCUACCAAGGCGACGACGGGUAGCCGGCCUGAGAGGGUGACCGGCCACACUGGGACUGAGAUACGGCCCAGACUCCUACGGGAGGCAGCAGUGGGGAAUAUUGCACAAUGGGCGCAAGCCUGAUGCAGCGACGCCGCGUGAGGGAUGACGGCCUUCGGGUUGUAAACCUCUUUCAAUAGGGACGAAGCGCAAGUGACGGUACCUAUAGAAGAAGCACCGGCCAACUACGUG